UACGUAGGGUGCAAGCGUUGUUCGGAUUCAUUGGGCGUAAAGGGUGCGUAGGCGGCGCGGUAAGUCGGGUGUGAAAUCUCGGAGCUUAACUCCGAAACUGCAUUCGAUACUGCCGUGCUUGAGGACUGGAGAGGAGACUGGAAUUUACGGUGUAGCGGUGAAAUGCGUAGAUAUCGUGAGGAAGACCAGUGGCGAAGGCGGGUCUCUGGACAGUUACUGACGCUGAGGCACGAAGGUCAGGGGAGCAAACGGG
rnacentral:rRNA from 1 species